rnacentral:rRNA from 1 species
UACGGAAGGCAGCAGUGGGGAAUAUUGCACAAUGGGCGAAAGCCUGAUGCAGCUAUGCCGCGUGUAUGAAGAAGGCCUUAGGGUUGUAAAGUACUUUCAUCGGGGAGGAAAAACAAAACUAAUAAUUUUAUUUCUUGACGUUACCCGAAAAAGAAGCACCGGCUAACUCCGUGCCAGCAGCCGCGGUAAUACGGAGGGUGCUAGCGUUAAUCAGAAUUACUGGGCGUAAAGAGCACGUAGGUGGUUUUUUUAAAGUCAGAUGUGAAAUCCCUGGGCUUAACCUAGGAACUGCAUUUUGAAACUGAAAUACUAGAGUAUCGUAGAGGGAGGUAGAAUUCUAGGUGUAGCGGUGAAAUGCGUAGAUAUCUGGAGGAAUACCUGUGGCGAAAGCGGCCUCCUAAACGAAUACUGACACUGAGGUGCGAAAGCUGGGGAGCAAAACAGGGAUUAGAUACC